rnacentral:rRNA from 1 species
GGCGGCAGGCUACCAUGCAAGUCGAGCGGUAGAGAGGUGCUUGCACCUCUUGAGAGCGGCGGACGGGUGAGUAAUGCCUAGGAAUCUGCCUGGUAGUGGGGGAUAACGCUCGGAAACGGACGCUAAUACCGCAUACGUCCUACGGGAGAAAGCAGGGGACCUUCGGGCCUUGCGCUAUCAGAUGAGCCUAGGUCGGAUUAGCUAGUUGGUGGGGUAAUGGCUCACCAAGGCGACGAUCCGUAACUGGUCUGAGAGGAUGAUCAGUCACACUGGAACUGAGACACGGUCCAGACUCCUACGGGAGGCAGCAGUGGGGAAUAUUGGACAAUGGGCGAAAGCCUGAUCCAGCCAUGCCGCGUGUGUGAAGAAGGUCUUCGGAUUGUCUAGCACUUUAAGUUGGGAGGAAGGGCAGUUACUUAA